CCUACGGGAGGCAGCAGUGAGGAAUAUUCGUCAAUGGACGAGAGUCUGAACCAGCAAAGUAGCGUGAAGGAUGACUGCCCUCUGGGUUGUAAACUUCUUUUAUAGGGGAAUAAAAUGUUACACGUGAGUGAUCUUGUAUGUACCAUAUGCAUAAGGAUAGGCUAACCCCGUGCCAGCAGCCGCGGUAAUACGGAGGAUACGAGCGUUAUCCGGAUUUAUUGGGUUUAAAGGGAGCGUAGGUGGAUUGUUAAGUCAAUUGUGAAAGUUUGCGGCUCAACUGUAAAAUUGCAGUUGAAACUGGCAGUCUUGAGUACAGUAGAGGUGGGCGGAAUUCGUGGUGUAGCGGUGAAAUGCUUAGAUAUCACGAAGAACUCCGAUUGCGAAGGCAGUUCACUGGACUGCAACUGACACUGAGGCUCGAAAGUGUGGGUAUCAAACAGGAUUAGAUACCCUGGUAGUC
rnacentral:rRNA from 1 species